rnacentral:rRNA from 1 species
UACGGAGGGGCUAGCGUUGUUCGGAAUUACUGGGCGUAAAGCGCGUGUAGGCGGCCAUGCAAGUCGGAUGUGAAAGCCCUCGGCUCAACCGGGGAAGUGCACUCGAAACUGCAAGGCUAGAGUCUCGGAGAGGAUCGUGGAAUUCUCGGUGUAGAGGUGAAAUUCGUAGGAUAUCGAGAGGAACACCGGUGGCGAAGGCGGCGAUCUGGACGAUGACUGACGUGAGACGCGAAAGCGUGGGGAGCAAACAGG